rnacentral:rRNA from 1 species
AUGAAAGGUGUUCCCUAUGCUUCAGCCAUAGGCUCUAUCAUGUAUGCAAUGCUAUGUAUUGGACCUGAUGUGUGCCUUGCUAUAAAUUUAGCAGGGAGGUACCAAAGUAAUCCAGGAGUGGAUCACUGGACAUCGGUCAAGAACAUCCUGAAAUACCUGAAAAGGACUAAGGAUAUGUUUCUCGUAUAUGGAGGUGACAAAGAGCUCGUCGUAAACGGUUACGUCGAUGCAAGCUUUGACACUGAUCCGGAUGACUCUAAGUCACAAACCAGAUACGUGUUUUUAUUAAAUGGUGGAGCUGUCAGUUGGUGCAGUUCCAAGCAGAGCGUCGUGGCGGGAUCUACGUGUGAAGCAGAAUACAUAGUUGCUUCGGAAGCAGCAAAUGAAGGAGUCUGGAUGAAGGAGUUCAUAUUCGAUCUAGGUGUCAUACCUUGUGCAUCGGGUCCAAUGAAAAUCUUUGUGACAAUACUGGUGCAAUUGCCUUGGCAAAGGAAUCCAGAUUUUACAAGAGAACCAAGCACAUCAAGAGACGCUUUAAUUCCAUCCGCGGUCAAGUCAAGGAGGGAGACAUAG